GGGGACUUAGCUCAGUGGUAGAGCGCUUGCCCAGCAAGCACAAGGCCCUGGGUUCGAUCCCCAGCUCCG
rnacentral:tRNA from 1 species